GUCUAAAUAGCUUAUAAAGAGCAUGAUAUUGAAGAUAUCAGGGAAAUAUUAUAUUUUUAGAUA
rnacentral:tRNA from 1 species